rnacentral:rRNA from 1 species
UACGUAGGGUGCAAGCGUUAAUCGGAAUUACUGGGCGUAAAGCGUGCGCAGGCGGCUUUGCAAGACAGAUGUGAAAUCCCCGGGCUCAACCUGGGAACUGCAUUUGUGACUGCAAGGCUAGAGUACGGUAGAGGGGGAUGGAAUUCCGCGUGUAGCAGUGAAAUGCGUAGAUAUGCGGAGGAACACCGAUGGCGAAGGCAGCCCCCUGGGCUAGCACUGACGCUCAGGCACGAAAGCGUGGGGAGCAAACAGG